CCGUUCGAGACUAGGACGUUGAUAGGUUGGAUGUGGAAGCAUAGUGAUAUGUGAAGCUGACCAAUACUAAUUGCUCGUGAGGCUUGACUAU
rnacentral:rRNA from 1 species